AUGAGGAUAUCACAAAUUCUUCUUGUGUUCAAGAAGGCAGAAGAUGAAAAACUUUGUAAUGAAAAAGAAGGAUCAAAAAUGGCCAACAUGGAGUUAAGACCUAAGGGGCUGACUCUCCUCCUUGUGACCUGUCUGCCAAUGGGAGAAGCAGUCAUGGGACAUCCUUCAGAUCUCCAGGCAGGUCCCCACCUACCUAGGACCCAGGCAUUCACCGAGGACACGCCCCUAAAGACCAUGUGUCUGCAGCCUUUCCCUCCCUCUUCAAGUUUUGGCUACUCCUCUAUGGGAUAUAUAUUUGUAUACAUUUCUAACCUUGUCACUUCUCUAGUUACUUCUAGUGUAGAAGCACUCAUGGGAGUCACCCAGAUGCCACUGUAAACUUGGUAACUAUUCUAGCCUGAAGUCCUGGACAUUGCCUAUAGUCAAUACCUCUCUCCUAGGGACAGCUCUACAACAAUUCUCAGCUCUGAAGAAGCUACAGAAGACUGAGACCAUCACCCCUUUUCCCUUAGAUAUUUGAAGGGGGGAAGUGUCAUAGGCACUGUAUACCCAGAAACUCAGGCAGACUAUUGUCAGGGAAAUUCCUUUGCUCCCUUACAUCCUCGUGAUGCUGAUCAUACAAGGCUAGUUAAUCACUGAGUAGGCUUUGUCAAGGAUCGCAUUAAUUCAGUCCAGCUCAUGGUCCUUAGACUGCAUUAUCAACCCCUUGCAACUUGCCCAGCCCCUUAUGAUGAGGCCAUCUCCAUGGAUGAUUCAUCAUGUUUCAUGAAAAGAAGUGGGGAAUGAAGGAGGUUAAAUGACCGCCCCCUGGGGCAUCAGGGGUAAACUCUUGCCCAAGUCAGUAUAACCAUUCCAGCAGCUAAGCAGACACUCCCUGUAAGGUAAACAUCUCAAUCCAAAAUAUUCUGUUAUUCACAUUUCAUUCAAGCCUCCCAUGCUAUAUAAAGUAUGCCCCUAGCUGAGCCGGGUGUGGCUCCUCUUUUGGGGCAACCCUAGCAUGCUGGUAAUAAAGGUGAUCCAUUGCCUAC
rnacentral:lncRNA from 1 species